UGUGGGCGAGGGGCCCGAGGAUCUUGGUGAGAUCUUUGUGGCUGUAGUCCUGUGUCGGAUCGUGUGACAUCAGGGCGCUCAGGUUGUCGUCGAGCUGUUCCCAGCUCAGGUGCUGCAGGCCGCCGGCGGCUUCAGCCAGGAGGGUACCAGUUAUAGCACUCAGCCAGGACUCUAGUCGAUCCCAGUGGGCAUCAGGGCUGGAUGAUCGAGACAUGCUGGCUCACUGGUGAAGAGGGAGAGAGAGCGAGAGAGAGAGAGAGG